rnacentral:rRNA from 1 species
AUGAUUUUCCAGGUGAGCAAUGUAAUCUUUAUUGAUAGCCCUACUGGGUCUGGGUUCUCGUACGCCACAUCGGAGGAAGGGUUCAUAUCUAGUGAUACCAUGGCGGUUAAAAGGCUAGUCGUCUUUCUCGAAAAGUGGUUACGUGGACACCCCCAGUUCCUCUCAAAUUCACUUUAUGUUCACCCGCAAAAAAAAAAAAAUUCACUUUAUGUUGGCGGUGAAUCAUAUUGUGGUAUGAUCAUACCCACUCUUGCCCUAGAAAUCCACAUAUCAAAUAAAGAAUCUGGCGAAGAACCGCUUCUUAACCUCAAGGGGUACUUUGCCGGGAAUCCAGUGACUGACGACAGGUUUGACACCGCUGGUAAAGUCCAAUUUUUUCAUGGCAUGGGAUUGCUAUCGGACGAACUUUACGAGUUUGCCAAGGAGAACUGCGGAGGAAAUUACAGUGAUCCACCCAAUGCGUUAUGUGCCGAGUCCAUCCAAGCUAUUGACGAUUGCACAAAAGAUAUCAACUUGUCCCACAUCCUGGAGCCCAAAUGCGAGGCGAUAUGGAGCCCCAGGAUUCAGCAAGCAACUGCACGAAAUGUUACAAGUGAGCUCACGAGCGAUGCCCAACAGCUAUCUUAUAUCUGGGCAAAUCAUGAGGGAGUAAGGGAGAGUCUUGGCGUUCGCAAGGGAACAACGGGGGAAUGGAAAAGAUGUGAUCGCGACCUACCGUACACUAGAGAUGUCACUAGUACAGUAGAGAUUCAUUCGAGGCUACGGAGAGAAGGAUAUCCAGCGCUGAUAUACAGCGGCGACCAUGAUAGCAAGUUUCCCUUCGUUGGCACGCAAGCAUGGAUAAGAUCUCUUAACCUGUCUAACACAGAUGACUGGAGACCAUGGUAUGUUGAUGGCCAAGUUGCAGGAUUCACAAGAAGUUACUCGACUGACCUAACAUAUGCAACUGUGAAGGGUGCUGGGCAUACUGCUCCAGAGUACAAGCCCAAGGAGUGCCUCGAGAUGUUCGCAAGAUGGCUUUCGGGUGACCCUCUGUGA